rnacentral:rRNA from 1 species
CGCGCAGGCGGCUGGUCAAGUCCGAUGUGAAAGCUCCCGGCUUAACUGGGAAAUUGCAUCGGAAACUGAUCGGCUGGAAGGUGGGAGAGGGUAGCGGAAUUCCCGGUGUAGUGGUGAAAUGCGUAGAUAUCGGGAGGAACACCAGUGGCGAAAGCGGCUACCUGGCCCAUUCUUGACGCUGAGGCGCGAAAGCUAGGGGAGCAAACG